GAAGAGGCAGAAGGGGGGAGAGAGAGGGGGGCACCGGCCCGCUGGUUCUGGGGGAAGAAUGCAGAUCCCCCACUAUGGGCGCACAAAAUGGGCCCGGCAUACGCCGGUGCCACUCUCCCGGCCAAGCCUCGGGUUGACACCAUGCAGCAGCACACGGCGUUCCCACAAUGCACCGGCCCUCGUCUGUCACACACAGGCUCGCACACGCUCCCCCUGCGCCCGGAGGGAGCCCCGGCCAGGCUCGCGGGCGCCCAGGUGCCGACCCCUCCAAGCC